CCCUUAGAUGUCCUGGGCCGCACGCGCGUUACACUGAUGCAUUCAACGAGCAUAUAACCUUGGCCGAGAGGCCUGGGUAAUCUUGUUAACAUGCAUCGUGAUAGGGAUAGAUUAUUGCAAUUAUUAAUCUUGAACGAGGAAUUCCUAGUAAUCGCAGUUCAUCAAACUGCAAUGAUUACGUCCCCGCCCUUUGUACACACCGCCCGUCGCACCUACCGAUUGAAUGGUCCGGUGAGGACUCGGGAUUGUGGUUUAGCUCCUUCAUUGGGGCCUGACUGCGAGAACUUGUCCGAACCUUAUCAUUUAGAGGAAGGUGAAGUCGUAACA
rnacentral:rRNA from 1 species